rnacentral:rRNA from 1 species
UGGGGAAUCUUGCACAAUGGAGGAAACUCUGAUGCAGCGACGCCGCGUGAGCGAUGAAGCCCUUCGGGGUGUAAAGCUCUUUCGACGGGAACGAUAAUGACGGUACCCGGAGAAGAAGCUGCGGCUAACUACGUGCCAGCAGCCGCGGUAAUACGUAGGCAGCAAACGUUGUUCGGAAUUACUGGGCGUAAAGAGUGUGUAGGCGGUUUUGCAAGUUUGGUGUGAAAUCUCCCGGCUUAACUGGGAGGGUGCGCCGAAAACUGCAAGGCUCGAGUACUGGAGAGGAAAGCGGAAUUCCUGGUGUAGCUGUGAAAUGCGUAGAUAUCAGGAGGAACACCGAUGGUGUAGACGGCUUUCUGGACAGUCACUGACGCUGAGACACGAAAGCGUGGGGAGCAAACA